GCAUAUAAACGGAGUUGAGAAAAGUUAGGAUACGGGCCCUUUCUCUGCAUGGAGUAAAAUCUAGACAAAAGUAAUUGAAAGUAUUAACGUUGUUUGAGUUGUGAAAUACUUUUGUUUGCAUUUUAAUAUAUUCCCUUUCUAAAGUAUAUAUGUGCUUCCUUAUACUGUGGGCAAUCUGUAUGUAUGCCCAUUUAUAUACUACAUAUGCAUAAAUAUACAAAUAUAUACUAUAUAUACAUAAAUACCCAUAUGUGGUUCAAAAAGGCAAAUAUUAAGACUGUUCAUAGUCCGUCCUCAUCUACCAUCCUAGCCGUCUGUCAGUCUGGCAUUCAGCCAAGUAGAUAUUUUCACUAUUCUCCAAGAAGUCUUACCCACCCGCAUAUGAAUAUUUACAGCAUUUGAGGACUAAAGUUCUACUUUUUAAAGAAAUCUGUAAUUAUAGAG
rnacentral:lncRNA from 1 species